UCCGGCGCCGUUCGCCGCCCGCGGUUUGCCGCCCAUCGCGCCCUUCGCCGCGGGACAGCCGGAGCCGCCGCCCGUCGCGCACUGCGGGAGCCGCCGCAGGUUGUCGCUUGUCGCGCCCUUCGCCGCGGGAGAGCCGGAGCCACCGCCCGUCGCGCGCCGGAGGAGCCACCGCAGGUCGCCGCGGGAGAGCCGGGGCCGCCGCGAUCGUGAGCAGCCGCCCGCCCAUCCUCCAUCCCUACGCGGGCGCACCUUCCUUCAGCUCCUCCUCGCGCCGCCCCUCUCCUUUGCCCCGGCCGCCAAGACCCAGCGGUCGCUUCACCGGGUUGCGGCGCCGCCCCGCCCAAUAGCCUCCUAGCGGCCGCCUGCCGCCAUCCGCGCAGACUGCUUCACCGACGCCCGCGGCCGCUUCACCGGGCCACGGCGUCGCCCGCCCAUCCCUGUGUGUGCGACGGCUGAAAAUUUCGAUCUGCGAUGGUGCGCGGAGAUCAAGCGAUGACGGCAACAGCGUCGAGCUUUGCAGAUUUCAGCUAGAGCUUGCAGAGUUCUAAAAUAUGUUGACCAAAUCGUUUCUUCAAAACCUGGUUCACAAAUACUAUGAUCUUGCUACUAGCUUCUAUGAGUGUGGCUGGACUGAAUCCUUCCACUUUGCUCAUAGCAUUUUAGGUGGAAUGGUGAACCUUGAAGCAGAAGUACCAAACGGUACGAGCAGUUUCUGGCCCUAUAGCUUGAGUUGAAGCCUGGGAUGAAGGUCGUUUUUCUUAUGAAGAUCGAAUAACCCAUGGUUUUGGAUGUCAGGUAUGGAAUAGGCAGGCCAUUAAGAGAAAUUCCAAGAUUUAGGUUUAAUUCCUGUUUCGCGCUUUCACCUCUCUUCAUACGUGUGAAUACUGAUGUGUUCGGGUUUAGACAUUCUCAUAUGCGUGAUUAACGCAACUGAAGUGAUUCAUGUUUUUCUUACUUUCAACUGAAAACUUGUGGGGGCAUGAUUUUGAGGAGGCGAUCCAGAGCACCAAUAAGUUAGAGAAGUUCGACCUCAACCUUUCCAGGAAUUAAUCUAUUUUGGAACGGAGCUCCACCUCAGUUACUGAUUGAACAACAACGACUACCAAAUAACUAGGGAAAGGUCGCCACCAAGAACGGGUCACUGAUAGUAUCAACAUGGAGGCGUGCCUUAGCCUGGAGCCCAGCAAGAAGAUCAUCGGGAGCUUCGGGACAUUUGAGACGGCCGUUCUCCAUGUGGCCAACGCCAUCCAGCUGCAGGCAUUGCGCCGGCUUCGGCAGGAGUCGGUCAAGCCCAAUUGUAGCAUCUAUUGACCAAUGCAAGCUCCAUCAGGAUGUGCGUAGUGUCCAUAAGUUCCCUUUUGGCCAGUACAUGGAGAAAAAAAACAUGGAAUGUACAACAAUCCUACAUGAAACAUUCUGAACAAAGUCAUAUUGAGCUACCCCUAGAAAUUUUUGCAGCUUCUGUGAACUCUUGUUUUAUGUUCUAUAGGGCCAACUUGCAUUUUCACGUCAAGCAUGGCUGAUUAUCAGAGGGCAAGGAAAGAUGGAGUAGCAGAAGCAUUGCUUACGAUGAGUUCAUCGGGUCAACAGUGCACAUUAACAAGCAUUGCCUGCUGUCUGCCUUCGCCUACUUUGACGAGGAUGACAGCGGGUACAUCACCGUUGACCGCUGGAAGAGGUGCGCUGGGAGUACAACACAAGCUGACCGGCAUCGCGACAUCGCCAGGGAGGAUGUUCAAAUUGACUAUGGAGAGUAUAUGACAACUCAUGCAGGUUCGUAAUGACUUGAAGAAAGCAUAUGAGAAGCGAGUAUAGGAGCUUUAAUAUUAGAGCAACAGGGGAGGAGCAAAUGAUUGAAGGGCUAUCAGCCGUGUAAUAGAAAGCUGAGGAUAACGUCAACAGGUGGAAAACUAUAUUUGGUUGACAUAAUAACACUAGCAAAGGUGAAUAACAAUGUAACAUUAUCUUUUCAUUAGUUGAUCCAUUCAACUUUUGUUUGAUAUGACUGGCAUGAUAUUUGGAUAGGAAAGUUAUUUGUUAACUCUGUAUCAUUUUUAUGUGCAAGCUAAUAAUUAUGCACUGUGCA